rnacentral:piRNA from 1 species
UAGGUAAGUUUUGACUGAGAUGCAGAGCA